rnacentral:lncRNA from 1 species
CUCUCUCACGUGACCGAAGAAAAAGGAAGGGAGGAUAAGACCCUCACCUCACAAUUUUCUUCUGACACUCGGCAGAAAACAAAAACAAAUCCCUCUCUCAUUUUCACUCCAACAGAAAGAAAAAAGAAAAAGAAACCCUUCUUCUUCCUGCGGACACUCACCUCACCCUUCAUCCUCUCACACAAUCACUCAAAAAAACCCUCAAUCGCCCUUCAUCAUCUCCCUCACCUUCACAUCUCACUCUCAAAUCCUUUCCUCUUCGGUUUCACUCUCAAACCCACACCGCCGCCAUCAUCUUCCUCAC